rnacentral:lncRNA from 1 species
GGAGGGGGUGAACUGGGAUCUUGGUGUGCAGCGCGAGUUGUGUUUUGCCUCAAAUUUUCUCGUUCUUUUCCCCACCAAAAACUUGAUUGGACAAUCAUUCUAUUAAUAAAGUUUUUCUCACUAUAAAUACACACAUCUCUUCCAUGCUAUUUUUCGCAUUUAAUUAUUGUUCCCUGCAGGAUCUUGAAAACAAUGUAAUGCUUGUACCAUCUGAAAAUUCUGGCAUAAAUUCAUAGCCACACAUCGUAAUGAUAUUUUCUCAAUAGUCUCAACUAAAUCCCUCUGACCAUUUUGCAACACUCCCCUUUAAUGGGAGUAGUUUUCAAACAAUUUGGUUAUUAGAGCAGGGGGGUCCCAUCAGAUCAUAUUGAAUUGGACCUUGGGUUAUCCACGCACAGAACAAGAUGCUGUCGCGAAGAAAAUAUUCCUCAGAUUUAUUUAGUCCACCUCCCAAGUUACUGUCUUAUCUCUUACGCCUGCCUCUGCCCCCA